AACACGUGAGUAACCUGCCCUUGACUCUGGGAUAAGCCUGGGAAACUGGGUCUAAUACCGGAUAUGACCUUCUGACGCAUGUCAGGGGGUGGAAAGCUUUUGUGGUUUUGGAUGGACUCGCGGCCUAUCAGCUUGUUGGUGGGGUAAUGGCCUACCAAGGCGACGACGGGUAGCCGGCCUGAGAGGGUGACCGGCCACACUGGGACUGAGACACGGCCCAGACUCCUACGGGAGGCAGCAGUGGGGAAUAUUGCACAAUGGGCGCAAGCCUGAUGCAGCGACGCCGCGUGAGGGAUGACGGCCUUCGGGUUGUAAACCUCUUUCAGUAGGGAAGAAGCGAAAGUGACGGUACCUGCAGAAGAAGCGCCGGCUAACUACGUGCCAGCAGCCGCGGUAAUACGUAGGGCGCAAGCGUUAUCCGGAAUUAUUGGGCGUAAAGAGCUCGUAGGCGGUUUGUCGCGUCUGCUGUGAAAGACCGGGGCUCAACUCCGGUUCUGCAGUGGGUACGGGCAGACUAGAGUGCAGUAGGGGAGACUGGAAUUCCUGGUGUAGCGGUGAAAUGCGCAGAUAUCAGGAGGAACACCGAUGGCGAAGGCAGGUCUCUGGGCUGUAACUGACGCUGAGGAGCGAAAGCAUGGGGAGCGAACAGGAUUAGAUACCCUGGUAGUCCAUGCCGUAAACGUUGGGCACUAGGUG
rnacentral:rRNA from 2 species